UGAGAUAGAGGACGCACCCGGUCAUCAGUAAGCGCUGUGGAACUGUGCAGAGUACAGCGAGUGAAAGGGGCAGGUGCCGAAGUGAGGAAGGACUGCAUCUCCGACCGAUCUGGGCGGACGGAAUAAGAUCCGUACGACUGUCGCGACAACGCGGAGAGCUAUCC
rnacentral:ncRNA from 1 species